rnacentral:rRNA from 1 species
GCUUACGGCCAUACCACCUUAGGCACGCCCGAUCUCGUCUGAUCUCGGAAGCUAAGCAGGGUCGGGCCUGGUUAGUACUUGGAUGGGUGACCGCCUGGGAAUACCAGGUUCUGUAAGCA